rnacentral:lncRNA from 1 species
ACUGCGAGCCAUGGUCCUUGUAUGUUGAGGCGAUGAUUAAUUAAUUGCUGCCACAACAGGCGCCUAUUUACAGAAAGAUUAGAUCGAUAAAUCUUUUUUUUUAAAAAAAAAUACUAGAGUGCCGGCGGUACAGGAAGGGCACUUCGGUGAUGGUGAUAUGCUCUACUCCUCUGCCUUUGGACCCUUAUACCAUGGCGCCCUGAGCGGCCUGGCAGGGCGACGCUGAGGGUGGCGGAUGCAGUUGCAGAGGCGGCGGAAGAAGUCGACGACGGGCUGGAUGCGCGACAGGAGCACGAUCACCGGGCCUAGCACGCCCCCGGUCACCGUCACGAUCGCCAUUGGCUCCACCAUGGCCUUUGCCCUUUUCUGAUCUGAUCUUAGUAGCUCCCUGCAAAGAUGGAAGGAAAACCUGAUCUCAGGCAAGGCGAUUAAGCUUCUGACACUCUCUUGGCAGACCGAGAGCGAGCGGCAUGUACAGGAGGCGCAGAUUUAUGCAAGAGGUCAACGACCUGGUGUGUUAGUGUUAGAGAAGAGACGUUCCACGGUAACCGCGGGGCGGCCUCUCCACGCCGGCCGGUCGAAACGCCUAUUUUGGGGACGGAGCGGUUAAGGAUGCAUGGUUUGAGAAAACCAAUGCUUGGUGAUUGUAUAUUUGUUGCACUACAGCUACACAGGCGUUUAGUUGUUACUAGAGUUUAAAGCAUCAUUUUUCAGUUA